GACCGCUCCGGUGGUUAGAGCAUCCGCCUAGGAUGCGAGAGGUUGUGGGUUCGAUCCCUGGUUGGGUCA